UACGGGGGGGGCAAGCGUUGUUCGGAAUUACUGGGCGUAAAGGGCUCGUAGGCGGCCAACUAAGUCGGACGUGAAAUCCCCAGGCUCAACCUGGGAACUGCGUCCGAUACUGGAUGGCUUGAAUCCGGGAGAGGGAUGCAGAAUUCCAGGUGUAGCGGUGAAAUGCGUAGAUAUCUGGAGGAAUACCGGUGGCGAAGGCGGCAUCCUGGACCGGCAUUGACGCUGAGGCGCGAAAGCCAGGGGAGCAAACGGG
rnacentral:rRNA from 1 species